UUGAACGCUGGCGGUAUGCUUAACACAUGCAAGUCGAACGGAAACGAUACUAGCUUGCUAGUAGGCGUCGAGUGGCGGACGGGUGAGUAACGCGUAGGAAUCUGCCUGAUAGUGGGGGAUAGCCCGAAGAAAUUCGGAUUAAUACCGCAUAAUCUAUUCGUAGUAAAGUGGGGGACUUUCGAGCCUCACGCUAUCAGAUGAGCCUGCGUAAGAUUAGCUUGUUGGUAGGGUAAAAGCCUACCAAGGCGACGAUCUUUAGCUGGUCUGAGAGGAUGAUCAGCCACAUCGGGACUGAGACACGGCCCGAACUCCUACGGGAGGCAGCAGUGGGGAAUAUUGGACAAUGGGGGCAACCCUGAUCCAGCAAUACCGCGUGUGUGAAGAAGGCCUGAGGGUUGUAAAGCACUUUCAAUUGUGAAGAAAAGUUAGCGGUUAAUAACCGUUAGCCUUGACGUUAACUUUAGAAGAAGCACCGGCUAACUCCGUGCCAGCAGCCGCGGUAAUACGGAGGGUGCAAGCGUUAAUCGGAAUUACUGGGCGUAAAGCGUGCGUAGGUGGUUUAUUAAGUUAGAUGUGAAAGCCCCGGGCUUAACCUGGGAACUGCAUUUGAAACUGGUCAACUAGAGUAUGGUAGAGGAAAGUGGAAUUUCUGGUGUAGCGGUGAAAUGCGUAGAUAUCAGAAGGAACAUCAAUGGCGAAGGCAGCUUUCUGGACCAAUACUGACACUGAGGUACGAAAGCGUGGGUAGCAAACAGGAUUAGAUACCCUGGUAGUCCACGCCGUAAACGAUGAUAACUAGCCGUUGGGGGGAUUUACCCUUUAGUGGCGAAGCUAACGCGUUAAGUUAUCCGCCUGGGGAGUACGGCCGCAAGGUUAAAACUCAAAGGAAUUGACGGGGACCCGCACAAGCGGUGGAGCAUGUGGUUUAAUUCGAUGCAACGCGAAGAACCUUACCUGGUCUUGACAUCCUGCGAACUUUCUAGAAAUAGAUUGGUGCCUUCGGGAACGCAGUGACAGGUGCUGCAUGGCUGUCGUCAGCUCGUGUCGUGAGAUGUUGGGUUAAGUCCCGUAACGAGCGCAACCCCUAUCCUUAUUUGCCAGCACAUCAUGGUGGGAACUAUAAGGAGACUGCCGGUGAUAAACCGGAGGAAGGCGGGGACGACGUCAAGUCAUCAUGGCCCUUACGACCAGGGCUACACACGUGCUACAAUGGGAAGGACAAAGAGCCGCGAAGCCGCGAGGUGUAGCUAAUCUCAUAAACCUUUUCGUAGUCCGGAUUGGAGUCUGCAACUCGACUCCAUGAAGUCGGAAUCGCUAGUAAUCGUAGAUCAGAAUGCUACGGUGAAUACGUUCCCGGGUCUUGUACACACCGCCCGUCAA
rnacentral:rRNA from 1 species